GGAACUACUAAAGCCAUUCACGUGCCUUCUUCAACGGAAAUGGCUACCACCAGAAUCCCAGAUUUGACAACAACUUUUAUGUUGACUGACAGUUCAACCAUAUCGAGAGAGGAGAUACAAAAAGCAGAACAAGCUUCUAAAGGCCUCAUAAUUGGUGGCACCGUAGGUUCCAUCGCAUUUGUUGCAAUCUUCGUGGUAUUGGCAGUUUUGUUUAAAAGG